rnacentral:rRNA from 2 species
AUGAACGCCGGCGGUGUGCCUAAUACAUGCAAGUCGAACGCGUUGGCCAAUUGAUUGAUGGUGCUUGCACCUGAUUGAUUUUGGCCGCCAACGAGUGGCGGACGGGUGAGUAACACGUAGGUAACCUGCCCAGAAGCGGGGGACAACAUUUGGAAACAGAUGCUAAUACCGCAUAACAGCGUUGUUCGCAUGAACAACGCUUAAAAGAUGGCUUCUCGCUAUCACUUCUGGAUGGACCUGCGGUGCAUUAGCUUGUUGGUGGGGUAACGGCCUACCAAGGCGAUGAUGCAUAGCCGAGUUGAGAGACUGAUCGGCCACAAUGGGACUGAGACACGGCCCAUACUCCUACGGGAGGCAGCAGUAGGGAAUCUUCCACAAUGGGCGCAAGCCUGAUGGAGCAACACCGCGUGAGUGAAGAAGGGUUUCGGCUCGUAAAGCUCUGUUGUUAAAGAAGAACACGUAUGAGAGUAACUGUUAUACGUUGACGGUAUUUAACCAGAAAGUCACGGC